AAGAUAAUGGAUAAGGACAAACCUAUUCUACCUGUUUUGAGAAAAUAUCUCAACCAACUCUAUUGAAUUGUUAUUCAGUUUUUGAUGAUUUGUUAUUCAGUUUUGAAUGUAACAAACAUAGUCAUCACACCUGUNCAAGCAUAGUCAUCACACCUGUGUAUAUGUACCACAAACUAUGAAUGAAUAUCAGUGUGGAGAUUUAUCUCUAAUCCUUCUUAAUAAAAAGUGAAUAACAAUUCAAUAGAGUUGGUUGAGAUAUUUUCUCAAAACAGGUAGAAUAGGUUUGUCCUUAUCCAUUAUCUUUAACAAAUUCAUCGUACUUUAUUUUUUUUCUUCCAUAUAAUGAAUGAGCUUAAAAUAACUUACAAACUAUUUAACAAUAUUCGGUUAUAAAGUAUUUUAUAUAAUUUUUUUUCUAAUUAUUUAUAUAAAAAUUUAGCUCUAAAUUCAGAUUAUCAUAAUAAUUAAAUUAAUUAACUUCUAUAUUAUAAAAAAGUAUUUGUCCGGCUUGCUCGCUGAUAAAAAGAGUACAACAUCCUCAUCUAAAGACCGUUAAUUUUUUCUUCGAUCACUAGUUUAUCCAAUACAAUAAAAUAUAUUUUUAACAAUAUUUUAUUCUAUCGUCUUCAAUAUUUAACGUGUAUCGACAUUAUAAUUAAGUGUCACCAAUAAACGUAUUUUUACAAAUACUGAUAAAAAUUUUUCGACGCUAUAUUAAAGCAUCGGUAUAUUUAUCCUGACAUAUUUAUUUAACGAUUCUUUACUCGACGCUUUUACAAUUAUCGGAGUUAUUCUUAUCGAUGGUUUAAAGAAUCGCUAGUUAUUAUUUAAAGUGUCACUACAACAAAAUUAGAUUAGAUUACAAGGGACACAUUUUUGAAACACUUUUAUAUAAGUGUUCCAUUUAUGUCAAAAAUAUUUUAAAAAAUCUACUAAGACCUGAAUAUAAAACCUAAUCCAAUCAAAAAUAAAAAGUUUCUCUACAUACUCAACCAAUCCCACACUGGUCCACUCAGCUCGAUUACAAAUAAAAAAGAUUAAAAAACAAAGAAAAGAAAAAUUAAUUAUCAUAUCUCUUUCUCCUCCUCCUCCGCUGCAGCCGACGAAAUAGGAUUCCGGCAGUUGGAGUUCGGCUACGAGGACCUCGCAGGGACUGUAGAGGGCUAAAAUUGCCACGUGUUUCUCCGGCAUAGGUAACAGAAAGAGUGGAUGCCAAACAUCAAGACGGCCCUACAUAUAACGGCACCACAUAUAACAAUAUUUUUAAAAAGUGUUGGUAAUUUAGCUAACAGUAUUUUUUUUGUUUUCAUGUACCAAUAUUUAAAAGUAUUGCUAUAUACCGUUUUUAUUGUAAUGUAUUCUUAAGUCUAAGAUUUGUUAUAGUAUUUUUUAUUAACUAAAAAAAUUUUUUUUUUUUUGGAUCACAUAA
rnacentral:lncRNA from 1 species